GAUGAACGCUGGCGGCGUGCCUAAUACAUGCAAGUCGAGCGAACAGAUGAGGAGCUUGCUCCUCUGACGUUAGCGGCGGACGGGUGAGUAACACGUGGAUAACCUACCUAUAAGACUGGGAUAACUUCGGGAAACCGGAGCUAAUACCGGAUAAUAUCUUGAACCGCAUGGUUCAAUAGUGAAAGACGGUGUUGCUGGCACUUAUAGAUGGAUCCGCGCCGCAUUAGCUAGUUGGUAAGGUAACGGCUUACCAAGGCAACGAUGCGUAGCCGACCUGAGAGGGUGAUCGGCCACACUGGAACUGAGACACGGUCCAGACGCCUACGGGAGGCAGCAGUAGGGAAUCUUCCGCAAUGGGCGAAAGCCUGACGGAGCAACGCCGCGUGAGUGAUGAAGGUCUUCGGAUCGUAAAACUCUGUUAUUAGGGAAGAACAAAUGUGUAAGUAACUAUGCACGUCUUGACGGUACCUAAUCAGAAAGCCACGGCUAACUACGUG
rnacentral:rRNA from 1 species